UUUUUGCCCUCAGCAUUGGGGAGAAUCUUCAGCUGCUGGUGGACCGGCCCGAUGGCACCUACUGUUUCCGUCUGCACAACGACCGGGUGUACUAUGUGAGUGAGAAGAUUAUGAAGCUGGCCGCCAAUAUUUCCGGGGACAAGCUGGUGUCGCUGGGGACCUGCUUUGGAAAAUUCACUAAAACCCACAAGUUUCGGUUGCACGUCACAGCUCUGGAUUACCUUGCACCUUAUGCCAAGGUUUGUGGGGUGGUUUCCAAUUCUGCCACGGGCGAUGAAGUCAAGGAUUAGGCAGACUGUCCGGCAGCUUCUCUCCCACAGAGUCCCUGACAGUGUGCUUGGAGGAGUGUCAGCACAUGGAGAUGUGUAGAGGUCUUGCAGCUUGGGCAUGGUCAGGGCUAUGGGAUAGGAAUGCUAUGUGGCUGCGUAGGGUUAGUUUUCUUCAGCGAAGUAGAAGAGCCUGGGCAGACCCAGCUAGAGAUCAGAAAGCAAAUAAGUGGCAGCAAUGAAGACACCGGGGUCCAGAAAAACAGCUGUUAACCUGGCCAUGGAAGAUGAUCCUUGUAGAGUUAA
rnacentral:sRNA from 1 species